rnacentral:pre_miRNA from 1 species
ACAGGAGUUACCCAGGAAUUUUGUUGAAAUGCAGAUUCUGAUUCAGUAGUUCUGGAAUGAGGUUCUGAAAUUUUGUGUUUCUUCCAGGCUCCCAGGUGAUGGCCCC